CUAGUACUCUCCCCGUCCCAAAAUUCUUGUCUUAAAUUUGUCUAGAUGCGGAUGUAUCUAAUACUAAAACAUGACUUGAUACAUCCGUAUUUAGACAAAUAUAAGACAAAAAUUUUGGGACAGAGGGAGUAGUUU
rfam:Triticum urartu cultivar G1812 contig565229, whole genome shotgun sequence.